CAGAAUUCGUGGGGGACAUAAGCGACGCGCUUCUGUGGGACCAGAGAUCACCAGCUGCCCGGGUUCAGCACCUUCAGGAGCCCAGAGGUGGGCACAGGAGGCCUAGGGAAGUGCCCCCCCCAGCUCCUCCAGAGCCACUUCGUGGACAAUAAGACACCCCAUCCAGCAACACCAGGUUGUCUCGGGACAUCCACCUGAACAGGUGAGCUGCUGCCGAGCCAGGGGCCUCCCUGCUGCCUUGUGAGUGGCCUGCGUGCAGUGGGACUGGCCAGCCAGGUCACACCUUCCCCUCUGCAAGGAGAAGACCAAUGAAGAUGAAGGCUCAGAUGAUGUGCCUGCUGUGCUGGUCUUUUUUUUUUUUUAAUUUAUUUAUGCAUACAAGAACUGGGGUCCAGGCCAGAGGUGCAGGAGGUGACAGGAUCCACCAGAGACAGAGUGGGGAACAGAACAGGCAGAUAGACUCAAGUGCUGAGGGGAGCAGCAGGCAAGUCAGGAGAGGUCUCCUGCGCCAUGUGGGUAGCUCCCUGGCCUGCUGGGGAUUGAACUUGUGCUGCCGAGGCUGCGGACAGCUUCACAGCGCUGUGCUCAAC